rnacentral:rRNA from 1 species
AUGGUGGCGUCCGCACCGCAAGCCGCAGCAGGCAACACACGCCUUCUCUCGUUCUUUGGCUGCAGCAAAAUCCAGCGCCCAACUCUAUCGGCUGCCGGUCGUCCCGUAUCUGAUCCGGAGAUGGUGGACUAUAUCCUGGCCGGACUGGACCGCGACUACGACUCCGUGGUGGCGGCGAUCGGCGCUGUCGAAAACACCAUCACCGCCGACGAUUUUUUUGCUCAGACCUCUGCCUUUGAUCAAAGGAUGGAGAUGCUAGGCGACUCAUCUUUAGGCGGGUUCCAUUCAUCUGCUAAUGCAGUCUACAGAGGCCGUGGCCAGUCCCGCGGCAGAUCUCGUGGGCGUGGAGGAAGAGGCCGUGGCCGUGGUGAUCGUGGUGACCGCGGUGACCGACAGUCUUCUUCUUCCAAUGAAGGCGGCGGCUCGAUGGCACCCGUUACACGCCGUCGGAUAUGGGCGAUGACCUCUGUCGUCAUGCUCGCCAUGGUCGCCAUGCUCUUCAUCACACCGUCGGAUUUGGUAUUCAGGACUGUUAGCGCGAACUACGGACUAGAGGUGGACUACUGCUGGAUAAAAAUGCAGUGCACACUAGUGCAUAUACUAGUGAAACACACACACUAG